rnacentral:tRNA from 1 species
UGCAUGUUAGCAAAGUGGUUUGGGUCUGUGGCUUGAUCCAGGGGGUCUUGGGUUCGAAACCCAGACCUGCCC